ACGAACCGCUGAUCACUAUGCACGAAAUACAUCAAAAUUUUUAUAGAUUCUACCGCUAGAUAUCGUAUCGUUCGCGAACGAAAGUUUCGAUUACGUCAACUCGCAAGUUAUCGACCUCUCGGCUAAUCUCAACCUAUGACAACUUCAGAUGGAUUCGAUUAAUCUUCGAUAUUUAAUGCUGACAGCAAGACAUGGAAACUAAUUAAAAUUCCGAACAAUAAGUAAGGAUCGCUGUUGAUUCGUGGCAUGCACCUGUGGAGCGAGGCGAAAUGCACGAAGAGCAAGAAAAGGAACAAAAAGACAGGGUGAUGUUCGACCGAACGAUUUUCUCUGGCCCUUUAAUCAAGAAGGAGGAACCCGUAACGACGUAGCGCGUAAUGAGUAAUGACAUCUGGUCUGUAUAGGGCGGGGCUAACAGGUCCCACGCGGUCUCUUGGUUAUACAUAUAUGUUUUACGUACACUAACACUAUCGUCCGGUUUCUGCUCAUUUAAACACUUACGAACUCGAUUUAAACGACCUCCAUCCGUGCGAUUGCCUCUCGUCCGCGUUAUUCGUAUCGUUCGUGUAAAGCUUCGUGCAGAUUUAUGAGAUUAAAUUUAUUUAUGUGUCUAAGUAUGAAAUAGAUCUUGUUUUGUUAGAAAAAGUUAAUUAAUUUUAAUAUUUAAUCGAAAUAACGAUUUAAUAUUUUGAAUAAAAACGUGUUUAAAAUUUUGUAGCUAAAAACUAAUUUUCUUUUUCAUUGACUAUUGAUUGAAAAUUUAUUGAUUUCUGUGAUUAUGACUAAAUCUUCAAACUAUUUCAAAAAAUAUAUUUUUAUUCCAUGAAUUAUUUUAUUCCAAUUUAUAAAGAUAAAACUAUCUUAUUAAUAAAUAACCUCAAAAGAUCGAAACACACUUCGAUUUUCAUAGAGUUUAUUAGCUAACAUAGCUCGGUUGCGUAAUAGUUAGAAACGCAUAAAACGCAAUUAUAAAUCCAUUUCAUAACGCGAACUGUUAGUGCCAGAUACAGACGUAUACGCGUGUAUAUUGAAAGUGCAAUAUGUUCGCGUUAAAACAUCCGCUUGCUAAAUACGGUAUAAGCGUAUCUUAGAAUCAUACCGGGUGAUACUGUUGCAGCAUUUUAGCUUUGUCGCUGACAUCUGAAUCGUAAUUGCGUACGAAAUAUUAUACUAUACGGAUAAGGAUUUCCUAAUAUGGACUAAGCUUAUAUGGAAAGAUAAACUAUUUUACAUUAGGAUGUCUAACGUCCUCUCUAACAUCUUGUAUACAAGAACGAAUCCGGUUGUGUAACGGUUUAAUAACAAAAACUAUAUUACCGACAUAAAAAAGCAAGAAUAUAAUUUCUUUGUACAAUUUUUCAUUUGUGUUUCAUGAAAAUAUAACUGUUGUACGGAAAUUUCUCUCUCCAUUUUAUAUGUUAAUUGUGCUCUUUACAGUGAAAUAUUUUCCUCUAAAAAAGGAUUGUAGUUAAAAUUUGACAGUGGAUCGUAUUUUGCGUCGGAGGGACAAAAUAUCUAUGUUGAUCGAAAAGAAUAUACGAGAAAGAAGGGCGAGAAACUGGUCAUUACGAGCGAAUAGCUGCGUCGAAGUUGUGAGAACCGUGGUGCUCUGAGACGGUGUUAUUAAGCAAAAAUAUUACACCGUUUUCAGAGCAUUAACGAACAAGUUUUACAGGGGAACGUAAACCGUGGCCGGCUCAUAUAUUAAGCUGGUUUGAAUGUUCUAUGAACGAAUACGACAAAUCCAUGCUUCGGUUCUGACCUUCUUUGGCGCGACAGCGUGGGCGCAUUUACUUCAGACGGAAUUACAGUCUGCACUUACUCCAUCUUACCUCAGUCAUUUCAGUAUAAGUAACUGCAAUCGUGAACCGUGACCGUUGUAUCGUAUCAUCUGGUUUACGUAAUUAUACGUAUGAAUGCACCGUCUUGGAUCAAAAGAUAAUUCGCCCGGAAGUGAUUCUUACGUGAGCUUGGUGGUCCUUGAUGAUUACAGAAUUUAGAAUUCGUCGCAGCAUAGGAAGAAACUGGUUUUACCUGAAUCAUUUCACGGUUGGGAAAAUGGAUCGCACAUUAGCCAGGACACUGUUAGAAGUUGUCGAGUUAACUCGCAAUGUUUUAUUAUAAAAAAUAAGAAUUACGAUUUUCAUAUUAGAUUAAAAAUAGAAUACUUAAGAUAUUCCAAGACAAGAAUUUGGAAUUUUUCUAGUUAUUUUUAUUAUUAUUUUUUUUUUAAAUAUCAGUUCAAGGAAAUUUUAGGAUUGAUUUUUAAGGAAAUAUCGGAGAUGUAUAUAUUUUACUAUGCAUUUUUGCAAUUAAAUGGUAUGUACAAAUGAAUCGAGCUCAAGUAUUUUCCUGAUUCAAAACGUUGUAUCUUUGAAUGGAUAAAUGAAAUUUAAUAUACGAAUCAACAAUAAGUAUAAUAUUAUAGCAAGGAAACUUGGUUAAAAGCCAAGAAAUGUAAAUCACAUAGAUAGUUUGAUCUACACGGAAUCGUAAUGGAUAUGCAAAACUAGAGUAAAAUGCCAGAUAUCGUUUAGUGAUUGGAAUAAGCACGAUUCAGACUGUAUUACUUUUGCAGUCAAUCACGUGCUUGACUAUAUUAUCUGCGAAAUGGUAAAAUCUUUUAUAUCUUUUAUUUAUAAUUCUAAAUAUAUAUUAAUAUUUGAAUUUUUAUUUUUUCACAUAAAUAUUAAUCUUAUAAUCAUAUAGCAAAAAAUGGAUUAUCACUAAAUAAUUAUAUCCAAAUAUAUUAUAUCCAAUAUGUACUUAAAUAUUUAUUGAUAUGUCUUUUAAGUCAUUUUAUAAAAUAACAUUUUAUUAAAUUGUGAAA